UACGGGGGGAGCAAGCGUUGUUCGGAUUUACUGGGCGUAAAGGGCGCGUAGGCGGUCGUGACAAGUCACUUGUGAAAUCUCCGGGCUUAACCCGGAAAGGUCAGCCGAUACUGCGGGGCUAGAGUGCAGAAGGGGCAACUGGAAUCUCGGUGUAGCGGUGAAAUGCGCAGAUAUCAGGAGGAACACCGGUGGCGAAGGCGGGUCUCUGGGCCGAUACUGACGCUGAGGAGCGAAAGCGUGGGGAGCGAACAGG
rnacentral:rRNA from 1 species